AGUGAACGCUGGCGGUAGGCCUAACACAUGCAAGUCGAACGGCAGCACAGUAAGAGCUUGCUCUUACGGGUGGCGAGUGGCGGACGGGUGAGGAAUACAUCGGAAUCUACUUUUUCGUGGGGGAUAACGUAGGGAAACUUACGCUAAUACCGAAUACGACCUACGGGUGAAAGCAGGGGAUCUUCGGACCUUGCGCGAUUGAUUGAGCCGAUGUCGGAUUAGCUAGUUGGCGGGGUAAAGGCCCACCAAGGCGACGAUCCGUAGCUGGUCUGAGAGGAUGAUCAGCCACACUGGAACUGAGACACGGUCCAGACUCCUACGGGAGGCAGCAGUGGGGAAUAUUGGACAAUGGGCGCAAGCCUGAUCCAGCCAUACCGCGUGGGUGAAGAAGGCCUUCGGGUUGUAAAGCCCUUUUGUUGGGAAAGAAAAGCAGCAGGUUAAUACCCCGCUGUUCUGACGGUACCCAAAGAAUAAGCACCGGCUAACUUCGUG
rnacentral:rRNA from 1 species